rnacentral:rRNA from 1 species
AUGGUUGAACUUAAUGAGGCCAGCCUCACGAACCUGAAGUUCCUUCUCCUAUGCUUCGAGGCGCUAUCGGGUCUUAAAAUUAACUUUUCAAAGAGCGAAGUAAUUGUGACUGGGGUACCAGACUCUGAAGCUCAGAGAGUGGCGCAUCUUCUGAACUGCUCCCUUGGUUCUUAUCCUUUCAAAUACCUGGGCCUCCCAAUCUCCCCUCUCAAGCUAUUGGCAAAAGACUUUGCCCCGACAGUGACUAAAGUAGGGAACAGAGUCCUGCCAUGGAGAGGCCGUUAUAAUUCCCAGGCGGGCAAGGUCGCCCUCACUACUGCGUGCCUCUCCUCCCUUCCGAUGUUUCUAAUGGGCUUUUAUCUCCUGUCUGGAGGGACUCACACUGGUUUCGACAAGCAUAGGGGUGCUUUUUACUGGAACUCCUCUGACAAUAAACGCAAAUAUAGGAUGGUUAAGUGGGAUCUAAUUUGUAGGCCUAAGAACAUGGGGGGCCUAGGCAUCAUUAACACGAUGGUCAUGAACAAGUGCCUCAUGAUAAAAUGGUGGUGGAAAAUUAUGUUCCUCGAGGAGCGCCCCACCUGGCUUUCUCUUCUCAAAGCUAAGUACUUCCCCUCCUCGAGCCCCAUGUUCGCCUCUUCCUCUGGUGGUUCUCAGUUUUGGCGUCAGCUUGGUAAAGUUCGCCCGAUUUUCCGGUCCCUCAUUAAGUUUGUAGUUCGGAAUGGUAAAUCCACUCGCUUUUGGUUAGAUUGGUGGGUUGGGGAUACCACUCUCGUGGUGGCCUACCCGACCCUGUUCUCGUAUUGCGCUGCUCCUGAGAUCUCUAUCUCUGAGCUCUCGGCUCACAAUUGGGACCUUGACUUCCGGUGA